UACGGAGGGAGCUAGCGUUGUUCGGAAUUACUGGGCGUAAAGCGCGCGUAGGCGGCUUUGUAAGUUAGAGGUGAAAGCCCGGGGCUCAACCCCGGAACUGCCUUUAAAACUGCAUCGCUUGAAUCCGGGAGAGGUGAGUGGAAUUCCGAGUGUAGAGGUGAAAUUCGUAGAUAUUCGCAAGAACACCAGUGGCGAAGGCGGCUGACUGGUCCGGUUCUGACGCUGAGGCGCGAAAGCGUGGGGAGCAAACAGG
rnacentral:rRNA from 1 species